rnacentral:misc_RNA from 1 species
GCCUGUUCGAGCGUCAUUAUAACCCUCAAGCCUAGCUUGGUGUUGGAGCAUGCCUCUGGGGCCGCUCUUAAAAUCAGUGGCGGUGCCGUCUGGCUCUAAGCGUAGUAAAUCUGUCGCUAUAGUGUCUGGCGGUUGCUUGCCAAAACCCCCAAUUUUUUAUGGUUGACCUCGGAUCAGGUAGGGAUACCCGCUGAACUUAA